rnacentral:antisense_RNA from 1 species
CUUGAGCGACCCCAGCAGCAGCGGGCGGUCCGGGUCCCGGCCCUGCCCAUAGGCGGCGAGCAGCGCCUGGGCCUC